rnacentral:rRNA from 1 species
GACGAACGCUGGCGGCGUGCUUAACACAUGCAAGUCGAACGGAAAGGCCCCUUUGGGGGUACUCGAGUGGCGAACGGGUGAGUAACACGUGAGUAACCUGCCCUUGACUUCGGGAUAACUUCAGGAAACUGGGGCUAAUACCGGAUAGGAAUCCUUGCUGCAUGGUGGGGGUUGGAAAGCUUCGGCGGUUUUGGAUGGACUCACGGCUUAUCAGCUUGUUGGUGGGGUAGUGGCUUACCAAGGCUUUGACGGGUAGCCGGCCUGAGAGGGCGACCGGCCACAUUGGGACUGAGACACGGCCCAGACUCCUACGGGAGGCAGCAGUGGGGAAUAUUGCACAAUGGGCGGAAGCCUGAUGCAGCAACGCCGCGUGCGGGAUGACGGCCUUCGGGUUGUAAACCGCUUUCAGCAGGGGCGAAGCUUGUGGUGACGGUACCUGCAGAAGAAGCACCGGCUAACUACGUG